CAUCGUUAAUAAACUUGAUUGUAAUUACACCAAAAAAACAAAUUAAAGCUGGUUUAAGGACAUGAUAAAGAUUUAAUUAAAAAUUAACAAUGGCUGACAAUUAAAAUGAGUUGACAUGUUUGAAAAACAAUAGCGCCUUCAUUUCCCCCCUUUUUUGGUUUUGGAGGGAAAUUUAAUUUUAAUCACAUGAUUAUGCAUUUUGCUUUUUAUGUAACCGUUUUACUUUCAAUGUCGACGUUUCUCAUAAAUGAAGGAUUAUUUAUUUAAUUAACUUAUCUUAUUUAAAUCUUUUGCUGGUUUAUAAUCAAGCAUAUUAUCCUGAAUUGUAUGCUAAUCAAUAAGACUACCAAGAAUCGAUUUUCGGUGAAAAGCUGUGUCUAUUUCAAUUCAAGUUGUUUGCUUUUCCAUCUCACAAGUGGGUAAAUGGAGUUAAAGACAAAAGUAAACCAAACCGUUUUGAGGAUUGAGGAUAAAACAAUUUUGCUGUUAUUAACCCUCAACCUUGGUAAUGAUUUUACCAAUCAUAGUAACCAAUUGAUUAUAAAUUUAUGCUAAUGACAAGGAUGGUAAUAAGGACUCAACAUCUAAUUGUCGCAUCAAGCAAACCAUCCCAGCUGAAGGCGGAUUAAUCAAUUACAUCAAUUGGUGACAUUGAAAGGCAGAGUGAUUGGAAAGAUUGAAAAAGGCUUUAUCAAUCUUAAAAUCUAGAUUAUCGUCGCUCAACACGUUCCACCAACAGUUACACUGUUAUCCUGUCCUAAAUUGUUGGUUCACCAAUAAGGAGAAACAAAAAAUGGUGACUUUUUUUACCAACACAAACUGUAGGUAACGAAUAAUGAACGUGAAAAUGAAAACUAAAUCAACUGCAGAGGUUAGCCGAUAUGCAAUUCUUUAGGUAAAUGUGCAUUGAAUAAAAUUAUCACAGUCCAAUUACUACUAAAGCCACUUGAACAGCAGCAACUUAUCAAAACAUUCGCAAUCACCAAUCAAGCAUAAACAACAAUCUGAUCGUGUUAUCAGCAACACUCAUUGCCUGAGGAUUGAAAGUGAAAGCUGGACGAUAUUGUAUCGCAGCAAUUAGCAAAAUUUUCGGGUAAUAAUAGUGAUUAGCUGAUCCAUAGUUGAUUUUUAUCUGUAACCCAAUUCAAAAGUCAAGUUUACACUCGAUUGGAUGGAAAAUUUCAUUUGAACCUGAUAAAUUUUGGUCUAACAAUGGAUUGGAAUGAACCAAUUUCUUGAUGAACCCAAUUUAUUAAGCCCUGAACUGGCCCCUGAUUUACUGGUUGAUCAUUCUUCCUGUAUUACCAAAUACGUACAGAAGUAAUUCAAUAUACACUUGUUUACAGUAAACUGUGAUUUGUGGCUGAUUAACUGCGUAUAAUUGACAAUGAAUUAAAUAUACAAAAUAUUGUGGUACAAUUAAAUGUUCGAUAUUCAAAAGAAACAAGAUCCAGUUGAGUAAAUCGCUUUUAAAUAGCAUUGCUACUACCAUGAUUAGCAGCCAAUUGAUUGGAGAGAUUAUCGUUAUUCAAAUAAAGGCUAGAAAAUUUCCACUUAUAACAGCCUCAGCCUCAUCAUCGCCAUCAUCUUAUCUUCAAUCAUACGACUUAACUUUUGACUGAUCCAUCUUCACCAUCCAUCCUGAUGAAGCCAAAUGAUAGGAAUUUGAAAGCUGACAAUUGACAACUUGCAAUCGAUUCACUUUCUCAGUUAACCAGAAAAAGAGUUUAAAUGUUGAAAAUUUUAUUUUCACAUGAUAUUUAGUAUCAAUCAUCACAAUUUAACUGAUUGUAUACUCAUCACCAUCAUCAUCAUCACCAUCCAGCCGAUUAUUUAAUGUUCAUUAUUAACUAUUAUAUUUAAACAUUUCUUUCCUAAUCUCUAUGUUACACUCAACACUCACACUCAAAGCCAUUGAAAGCCAUUGAAGCAAAUUGGUUGAAGCCCUUAACCAAGUCAACCAUUUCAAUUCCGUUAAUUUGACAGUUAAUCAGGCGAACAGUUAGAAGAUGUUAAAGAUGAACGAAUCAAAUAAUAAUGAUAAUAGUCAUGAUGAUGGUAAUAAUAAAGAUAAUGCUGAUAAUAUCGGUGUUGAUAAUGGUAACAAUUGAAAUAUAAAAUACAACAAAAGCAAAAAAUGAAUGAUAUUUCCGAGAAUCGAAUUUACUCUUUUUUUCUUUCUUUUCAAACCUUAAUUGUUAGCAAUUAAAAAACACAAUAUUAACAUUACUAAACGUUAUUGUUAAAAUGGAAAAGAUUGUUUCAAAAAUGAGCCAACAAUCAAUUCUAGUAAUUGCAUUGAUUAACACAUUUACAUGAUAGCUUAAAGCCAGCAACUAUUGAAAAUUUGGCUUCUCAUUUGAAUGCAACCUCAAACCAAUAUCAAUAUUUAAUUGCUAAUGGUUAAUUACUUGAACCUAAACUAAUUACAAAUCAACAUUAAAAUGAAAAAUUAUGUUAA